rnacentral:rRNA from 1 species
UACGAGGGAUCCUAGCGUUGUUCGGAAUUAUUGGGCGUAAAGGGUGUGUAGGCGGCCAUACAAGUCAGUUGUGAAAGCCCCGGGCUCAACCCGGGAAGUGCUUCUGAUACUGUUUGGCUUGAGUAUUGGAGAGGAUAGUAGAAUUCCAGGUGUAGUGGUGAAAUACGUAGAUAUCUGGAGGAAUACCGGCGGCGAAGGCGGCUAUCUGGCCAUAUACUGACGCUGAAACACGAAAGCGUGGGGAGCAAACAGG